UCCUGCGGCCACGCCCCGGGCCCUGCCCGGCCCCCGCAGCCAGGUGAGAGGGACUGAGCGCCCCGGGGCUCCAGCGGGGUCUCCCCACAUUCCCCAGCUCCGGGUGCUGCGAUAGGGGCCGCGGUGUGCACGAGAGCUGGGAUUUCUGUGUCCUUCCCCUGCCCUUCCUCCCCAGCGUUCCUCAUCUUCCUCCUGAUCAUCCUUCCUCCUCUUCCCUUCCUCCUGACCCUUCCUCCUCUUCCCCCUGACCCUUCCUCCUCUUCCUCCUCUUCCCCCUGACCCUUCCUCCUCUUCCUUUCCUCCUGAUCAUCCUUCCUCUUACUCCUGACCCUUCCUCUCUUCCUCCUGACCCUUCCUCCUCUUCCCUUCCUCCUGAUCACCCUUUCUCUGCUCUUCCUCCUGACCAUCUUUUCCCUGAACUCCCUUCCCCUGCCCUUCCUCCUGACGGUCCCCUGCUGUCCCCUGUGUCCCCAGGGCCACCGGCUGCUCUCCGGGCCCGGCCUGCCAGCGCCCAGCUGCCAAAGGACAGCACCAAGCUCCCGAGCGAGGAUUGCUCCGUGUCCCAGCACACCCUGACACUGCCCGGGAGGAAGGGGCCGUGGGAUGGGCUCGGGAAAGGAGCUUUUCCCAAGCUGGAGGAGAAGGUGGGACAGCUGGAGAAGGGAUGCCCUGGGAAGGGCAGGAUGAAAGCCGGCUCCGAGAUGAACCUGCUGGCCCUCGGGAGGUCACUCAAGGGCCACAUCACCGCCAGCUCGGCCGGCUCCGAGGUGGGCGAGCCCGGAGAAGGGCUGAAAUGCAGGGAGAGCGAGGUUUGGAGGGCACCCCCCAGCCUUUCCCCGCUGCUUUUCCCGCAGGGAUCGUUCCUCAGGCCGCUGCUGAAGCGCAGCACAUCAGCGAGGAGCGCCCUGAGGCCGCCCCAGUCCCCGCUCAUGGCGGGGAAGGGAAAUGUGAUGAGGAAGACAAAGGAGUGGGAGAUGAAAUCCGCGAUGUGAGCACGGAGCGAGAGUCUCCCAGAGAACAUCGGGCCGCACGUGGAUCGUGCAGGACCAGCCUGGAAUCAGCCUGGAAUUUGACUUUUAUCCAUCACUAUCAACGCUACAACUACGCACAUCUAUUUUUAUAUCCAGAUAUAUCGAUACACACAUAUCAGCUCUGCAGCCGUGGGCUGUCCCCACUGCAUCCCCACCUAUCCCAGCAGCUCGUUUUUGGGGUACAGAAUUCCCGGGUAAUUCAGGAACUGCUGGCUCUGUCCCAAAUCCAUCAGCAGUUCCCCAAUCCCCCUCCCAGUACCCCAAAUUUGCAGGGAUGGGUGUGGAUAAACCCUGGAUCCAGCAGGAGUGGGGGGCAGAGAUUUGGGAGGCAUCCGAUUGUCCAUUCCCUGGAGUCAGCGGGACCCGGGCUGGGCCCUGGGCUUUUCCAGCAGCUGAGCUUGGCAGGGCUUGGUUUGAAUUGGAGAAAUGUUAUUUUUUUUAAGGAUUAAAAAAAAAAUUGUCAUAAAACUUGGGUUGUGCUGUGGGAAAGGGAAAGGGGAUGCCCUUGUCCUGGUCCUGGUGAGUGUGGGCUGCAUCCCAGUGAAGGGGUUUGUGGGGUCAAUCCCAUGAAGGAGUUUGUGGGGUCAAUGCCCAUCCCCAUGAAGGAGUUUGUGGGGUCAAUCUCAAUCCCAGGAUGGGUUUUGUGGGGUCAAUCUCAAUCCCAGGAUGGGCUUUGUGGGGUCAAUCUCAAUCCCAGGAUGGGUUUUGUGGGGUCAAUCUCAAUCCCAGGAUGGGUUUUGUGGGGUCAGUCUCAAUCCCAGGAUGGGCUUUGUGGGGUCAGUUCACCCGUGUGAAUUCGUGGGGUCCAUCCGGGCUGGGUUGCUGCCCCACCCUGGUGCUCGGGGGGUUUGUUCCCCUCCAGGUGCCCGGGGUCCAUCCCCAUUCAGAGCUGCCC
ensembl:lncRNA